AGAUCUGGCCGGGUGCGGUGUUGGAAGUGCCCACAGGAGACCUAGGAACUGACAGGCUGCAGGGGACUGUCCUGAGUGGCAGAAGGGGCCAAGAUGACCCCCCUGCCCUUGGAUUCAGCGAGCAACCUGGGAUAAGCGUCUGACCACUACUAAACCAAAUCACCAGGGAAGACUAGGGCAGAAGGAACCUCAGAGCAGGCGGAUGCCCUCUCCACACACACUACACAGAGGAGGAAAGGGAGGCCUAGAGACCCAGGCAGAUGGAAAGCAAGGUCCUGUACCCUUCCAUCCCAGGCCAGAGUUGAGUACCCAGUCUGCUGGGAAGGGCUUUCCUGGCCCAGCGCUCCAUGAAAACAGACGCUCCCCAUCUGGCUUGAAUGGAAGCAGCCUGGAAGCCCUGCCCCACACCCCUGCCAGCCCAGGAUGGAGGCUGUGCGUCCCCUUUCAUGCUGUUUAUUCUUUUGAACAAAUUGUGAGUUUUACAAGACA